rnacentral:lncRNA from 1 species
AUCUAUCCCUUUAAAAAAGGGAAAUUGAUAGGAUUUGCAAAAUAUUUAGAUAUUUAUAAUCUUUUAAUAAUUUUUGCAUGUGCUUCGAGCAAAAUCAUAAAGUCUGCAUGGAUGGUAUUUUAAAAGGGUUUGGUUGUUUUUGGUUUUGUCUUUUUUUCGCAAAUUCUUAACUGCCACUAUGACAAGAGAUCUUUUCUCUCCUAAUGACAGGUGAAGCACUGCAGUGUUACACCUGUGUAGGUUCCAGCGAUGAUGACUGCAACAGACAAGGGACACAGCAGUGCCCGGGGCAUUCCGAUGCGUGUGCGGUCAUGCGAGGACAAGCAAGUGGUGUGAUGAAGUCCUGCUCGUUCCGCUCCUUCUGUGAGAGGGCGAUGAGGGAUGGAGCCAGAGCACCCGGGGUGAGCGUCCACUGCUGCUACUCCAGCCACUGCAACGCCAAGAGCCGCGGCGCGAGGCUCGGCCCCUCCAACGGCUGCUUCGUCCUCCUCCUCUUGUCCCUGUGUUGGCACCCGCUGUUGAAGCUGACGUGAGGGGAAACGGGAUCCUGGAACUGCCUUUAUAGAAAGGGAUGGUUGUAUUUACACUUACUGUAUCGCAUUACUCCGCAUACCGCGUUUCUCAGUAGGAAGAAGCUGUAGGCAGACUUAGCUGCAGGUAGCAGUCUUGUAGUUAAGGUAAGGAGUGAUGUGCUCCAGCUGCUGUUUGCUGUUGGCAUGCACUCAAAAGCAAGCUACAAUUUUCAGGCACAAAGUGACCGAGAAUUCUAGCAUGCUCUUGAGUUGUUCAGAGAAUAUCUCCAGUCUGGACAAAGGCAGAAAACCUGAUGUAAGAAUGGUUUAGUAUUGAUACAAAGUGCUAAGAGAAAGCUACUAAGAGAAAAAAAAUGGAAACACAUUGUAUUACAUAUAUUUAUAGGGAUAAAAGGACUUUCCCAGUCUCCUCUCCUCUGAUACUCAAAGAUCUUAGCACUAUACUGGAAGCAGCAGCUAAAAAAGCAGCCUAGGUGCUGUUUUCAGCAGGUGAUCUGCCUCCUGGAGACUGCCUAUCUCUACUGCUACUUUUGGAAAGCUUUGGUCAGUCGCUGUGCUGUAGGCAGCUAAUAAAACAGAUAACAGUGUUUUGGUAUACCCA